UAAAAAAUAAAAAAUGUGAUCUAACGGAUGAACCCUAAUGUUUUAGGAAACUGCAUAACUCCUAAUUCCAACAUCUCAAGAUUCUUGAUAAAAUCGGCUGAUCCGAGGGGUCAGGGAAGAGGAUCGAAAGCGAGGUAAUUGUAAAUCUGGGGAACAUCAGAUUACAAUUAUCUCGCUUAGAGAUUUCCCCAGUUGGCACUCUUUCGGGAAAAAAAUCCCUAAUUUCUUAGAGCCCCAGUGAGCGAAAAUCUGCUUCCUUCAAUCUCUGUUGCUGCAGCGCAACGAAAUCGCCAUUCGUCGGAUUAACGAACUGUACGAGAAAUAUCACGAUGGGUGAUUCUGUCUUCUUUAAGGCAGGUUGUUGUUCGAUCAUAUCGCAGAUAAUCACGAGGAUCAGCUUCGGCAAAAGAGAAGCUUUAGGUAACGACAUGGAAGGACCGACGUCCUUACGCAGCUUCAAAGUGUUCUCAAUGAUCCUGGAAAUGUCAAGAAAACGAACAUGCCUAAUAUGUUUCCCAAUUUCUAGUCCUGACAUGAUGCUGCGAUCAUGGUAAUGAACAAGCUAGAAAUCUUGUUGCUUCAUAUCCUGAUUUCUAUUCAAAGGAAAAUUGAGAGUUCUACCAUCUUACAUCAGUUAGAACCAGAGAAAAACCUUUUUUGAAUCGACACCAUCUGAUGAAACAUGUGAGAUUGUUUUCCAGUUCACAUCUGAAACAAAGAAUUUGCUGAAUGGAAUACUGAAGGCAAUCUUUUUACUCCCCAAGAAGGUCAGGUUUCCCAAACUGGAAAAGAUGGAGCCGUUGUUUGGUCCAGAAGCCAAUAUCUUAUCUUAACUCUGUGGUCGAAUAUCUGUUCAAGUGCCAUGAGGUGGACCCUGUUCCAUACAAUCAGGAAAGCAAAUUUUACGGGAAUGGUUUCCAUAUUAUGAGCUUGAUCGGGUCUUCGAUGAUGCUUAUCUAGAGGAACCUGAAGACUGAUGAUAUUGAAUUGGUGAGGCUCAAAUCUGCUGACAUCUAUUGUUCCAGAGGAGACCGCUAAACCACCUUCUAAAGUCUGGUUCAGAUAUUCUACAAGACCGUGAAAUCACAUGUGAAAGAUGCAUUUGGAAUAUAAGAGAAUGGAGAACAGAGAAUGUCGUUCAGCAAAUUUUUGCUCAUCGAGUGAUCAGAAGACUUGAGUUGAAUCUUGAUGCUUUACCGAAUAAUGGGCUUUAUCUUGAGCUAUGAUAAUCACAGGAGACUCGAGUGAGUUUGAGAAAACUUUCCUGAAAAUGAAGACGUUUUGAUCACCAAGGAUUUCAGGAGAAAAGUGCACAUACGGAAAGACCGACUCCCUUAAGCAGCUUCAAAAUGUUCUCAGUGAUCCUGGAAAUUUCUGGAAAACAAGCAUGAUGAAUUUGUUCUCCACUUUCCAGUCCCAUCGUGACUCUGCGAUCUGGUACUGAACAAGGUAUAAAUCUCGUGAGGCAAGCCAGUGAAGAUGCUUUCAGAACAGGUGAGGCAAGCAAUACUUCUACGAUAUUACCUCAGUUAAAACCCAGAGAAAAAUCUGUCUGAAUCGUCGCCAUCUGAUAAAACAGGUGAUGCUAGCCAGUGAAGAUGCUUUCAGAACUUCCCUAAGAAGAUGAACUGAAGGAGCCAUUCAUGAAAGCAACGGCGCUAGUGAAUUUAGCACUUAAGCUACAUCCUGAGUAUAGGAGCAUGAGUACUGCUGACGCAUAUUUUUUUUUCAAGUUCACAUCUGAAACAAUGAAUUUGAAGAAUGAAAAACAAAAGGUUCUGCUCACUCCACAGGAGGCCAGGUUCCCUGAAAAGGUGCAGCUGAUGUUAUGCUCAGGAGCAAGCAUUUUCAAAAAUAAUUUAAGAACAGCAAUCAGGAAAUUUUUUGUCGAUUAUCUGUCGAGUGCAGUAAGAUGGGCCCUGUUCUAGACUCCCUACUGAAAGCUCUUGCAUUUGUGAAUAUGGUUUCAUGGAGCAUAAGGCACAAGGUCUUUUGUGGAGAGGCAGUUGAAGAAGAGGUGGAGUUCAUAUGAAAUAUGAGUGCUCAAGUAAAACAAAUUUUAGAGGAAGGGUUUUCAAAUCACGAGCUUGAUUGGGACUUAUAUGGAGGAACCUGAAGACAGUGAUGAUGCGAACUCGAGAUUUAAUGAUAACUGAGAAUUUCUUGAUGGGGACGUAUAUGGACUAUGGAGUGCAGCUGUGGAUACAGGUCAGAUGAAUCGGUAAUCGCUGGUGUGGCCAAAGCUCUAAUGCCCUCUCUUGACAAGAGGGAUGAAAGGUGCUAUGGACAUGGUCCGAGAUAUCCGAUGCUACCAGUAGAACUGCCGAUGGGACAAGGCAGAUCACGGACGAGGAACUUCACAGUGUGUCUCCCUGUUCCGGCCAAUAUCUCUAAGCAUUCAUGGAGAUCUGAAUCAGUCACUAGCAUCACCCAUUCUUCUUCGUCGUCCAAGUAUUUGAGUUGGAACGUUUCUUCAUUCAGCUCGAAACGCUUCCCGACUUCUCUGUAGAUUUGAGAACACCCGACCGAUGGGUCGAUCUUGAAACGCACUGUGUCAUCGUUGUAAGUUGCCUUCACAGUGACAACCGUGGACCCGCUCUCACCUCCGCUGCUACUGC